rnacentral:rRNA from 1 species
AUUGAACGCUGGCGGCAGGCCUAACACAUGCAAGUCGAGCGGCAGCGGGAAAGUAGCUUGCUACUUUUGCCGGCGAGCGGCGGACGGGUGAGUAAUGCCUGGGAAAUUGCCCAGUCGAGGGGGAUAACAGUUGGAAACGACUGCUAAUACCGCAUACGCCCUACGGGGGAAAGCAGGGGACCUUCGGGCCUUGCGCGAUUGGAUAUGCCCAGGUGGGAUUAGCUAGUUGGUGAGGUAAUGGCUCACCAAGGCGACGAUCCCUAGCUGGUCUGAGAGGAGGAUCAGCCACACUGGAACUGAGACACGGUCCAGACUCCUACGGGAGGCAGCAGUGGGGAAUAUUGCACAAUGGGGGAAACCCUGAUGCAGCCAUGCCGCGUGUGUGAAGAAGGCCUUCGGGUUGUAAAGCACUUUCAGCGAGGAGGAAAGGUUGAUGCCUAAUACGUAUCAACUGUGACGUUACUCGCAGAAGAAGCACCGGCUAACUCCGUGCCAGCAGCCGCGGUAA